rnacentral:tRNA from 1 species
GCGGGAAUAGCUCAAGAGGAAGAGCGCAUCCUUUCCAAGGGUGAGGUGUCUGGUCGAAACUUUCUUCCCGCUCCA